rnacentral:rRNA from 1 species
UGGGGAAUAUUGCACAAUGGGGGAAACCCUGAUGCAGCCAUGCCGCGUGUGUGAAGAAGGCCUUCGGGUUGUAAAGCACUUUCAGUUGUGAGGAAAGGGUUGCGGUUAAUACCCGUUAUCUGUGACGUUAGCAACAGAAGAAGCACCGGCUAACUCCGUGCCAGCAGCCGCGGUAAUACGGAGGGUGCGAGCGUUAAUCGGAAUUACUGGGCGUAAAGCGCACGCAGGCGGUUUGUUAAGCUAGAUGUGAAAGCCCCGGGCUCAACCUGGGAUGGUCAUUUAGAACUGGCAAACUAGAGUUUUGGAGAGGGGAGUGGAAUUCCAUGUGUAGCGGUGAAAUGCGUAGAUAUGUGGAGGAACAUCAGUGGCGAAGGCGACUCUCUGGCCAAAGACUGACGCUCAUGUGCGAAAGUGUGGGUAGCGAACAGGAUUAGAUACCCCCGUAGUCC